UACGGGGGGGGCAAGCGUUGUUCGGAAUUACUGGGCGUAAAGGGCUCGUAGGCGGCCGACUCAGUCGGACGUGAAAUCCCUCGGCUUAACCGGGGAAUGGCGUCCGAUACUAGUCGGCUCGAGUGUGGGAGAGGGAUGCGGAAUUCCAGGUGUAGCGGUGAAAUGCGUAGAUAUCUGGAGGAACACCGGUGGCGAAGGCGGCAUCCUGGACCAACACUGACGCUGAGGAGCGAAAGCCAGGGGAGCAAACGGG
rnacentral:rRNA from 1 species